rnacentral:rRNA from 1 species
UACGUAGGGGGCUAGCGUUGUCCGGAAUCAUUGGGCGUAAAGCGCGUGUAGGCGGUCCGGUAAGUCCGCUGUGAAAGUCGGGGGGUCAACCUCGGAUGCCGGUGGAUACUGUCGGGCUUGAGUCCGGAAGAGGAGAGCGGAAUUCCUGGUGUAGCGGUGAAAUGCGCAGAUAUCAGGAAGAACACCCGUGGCGAAGGCGGCUCCUCUGGGACGGUACUGACGGCUGAGACGCGAAAG